rnacentral:lncRNA from 1 species
UGUGACUGCUUUUUUUGUCCUGUUUAAGAAAUCUGUCCCUUCUCAAUUUAUGAAGAUAUUCUUUCAUGUUAUCUUCUUGAAUAUUAUUGCUUUGCCUUUUGUAUUUACACAUCACAGCUCACAUGGAAUUGAUUUUUCUGUACUGUUGUAAAUCAGGAGAUCAUACAUUUGGCCCAGUUGUUUCAACAUUCUCUCUCUGUUCCAUUGUUUCUACUUGGUCCUGCAUCAAUACCACACUGUCUUAUUUACUGUAACCUCAAGAUAAAUCUUGAAAUCUGGCAUUUUGAGUUUUCCUAUUUUGUUAUUCUUCAAGAAUUGCUUAACUAUUCUUGGCCCUUUGUGGUUUCAUGUAAAUUUAGUACCAGAUUUUCAUUUUGGGUGUGUGAAUCCCGAAUAUCUGGGACAGAGCUCAGUUAAUUUAGAAAGUUUAUUUUGCCGAUGUUGAGGACAGACGCUCAUGACACAGCCUCAGAAGGUCCUGAUGACUUGUGGCUAAGAUGAUCAGGGCACAGCUUGGUUUUAUACAUUUUAGGAAGACAUGAGACAUCAAUCAAUAUAUGUAAGAUAUACAUUGGUAUCAACCAGAAAGGUAUUUCCUAUAUCUUCCUGUCUUUUCCAUGGCCAAAAAUGAUCAAGUAAAGAACAUUAAAGAAGAAAUAAAUUACUACAUAUUAAAAAAUACAUACUGUAAGAUGUUCUUUGUACAAAAAUGUGACAACUUCAAUAAGAGUAACUUGGACAACCUGAGGCAUUAAUUGAGGAUCAAUAUGAUGACUUUACAUUGAGAAUCACAUAUACCCUCUGAAUAAAUUUAAAAAAUGAAAUUUUUUAAUUUUCAUUAAAAAUUAAAUUUUUUUGAGUGAUGAAAAUACUCAAUCACAUUAUUUUCAAAUUGUUGAUAAGCAUGGAAAUUAUCAGAGAACCAGAAUAUUCAAGGUUUAUCUUUCCUGUUUUUGUCUUAAAUCACAACUAUGUGUUAAAUAAUUUGUAUGACCUAUUUCAGUGGCAGUAGGUUAAAUAAAAUUCUGUUUGUAU